AUUGAACGCUGGCGGCAGGCCUAACACAUGCAAGUCGAGCGGAGCGGCGGACGGGUGAGGAAUGACUAGGAAUCUGCCUGGUAGUGGGGGAUAACGUACGGAAACGGGAGCUAAUACCGCAUACUAUCAGAUGAGCCUAGGUCGAAUUAGCUAGUUGGUGGGGUAAAGGCCUACCAAGGCGACGAUCCGUAACUGGUCUGGGAGGAUGAUCAGUCAACCGGGAACUGGGCCACGGUCCAGAUUCCUACGGAGGGCAGCAGUGGGGAAUAUUGGACAAGGGGCGAAAGCCUGAUCCAGCCAUGCCGCGUGUGUGAAGAAGGUCUUCGGAUUGUAAAGCACUUUAAGUUGGGAGGCGUUACCAACAGAAUAAGCACCGGCUAACUUCGUGCCAGCAGCCGCGGUAAUUC
rnacentral:rRNA from 1 species